AUUGAACGCUGGCGGCAGGCCUAACACAUGCAAGUCGAGCGGAGCGGCGGACGGGUGAGUAAUGCCUAGGAAUCUGCCCGGUAGUGGGGGAUAACGUCCGGAAACGGGCGCUAAUACCGCAUACUAUCAGAUGAGCCUAGGUCGGAUUAGCUAGUUGGGGGGGUAAAGGCCUACCAAGGCGACGAUCCGUAACUGGUCUGAGAGGAUGAUCAGUCACACUGGAAUGGAGACACGGUCCGUACGCCGACGGAAGGCAGCAGUGGGGAAUAUUGGAAAAUGGGCGAAAGCUUGAUCCAGCCAUGCCGCGGGUGUGAAGAAGGCCUGCGGGUUGUAAAGCACUUUCAGCGGGGAGGCGUUACCCGCAGAAGAAGCACCGGCUAACUCCGUGCCAGCAGCCGCGGUAAUAC
rnacentral:rRNA from 1 species